UACAGAGGGUGCGAGCGUUAAUCGGAAUUACUGGGCGUAAAGCGCGCGUAGGCGGCUUUGCAAGUCGGGUGUGAAAUCCCCAGGCUUAACCUGGGAACUGCAUUCGAGACUGCAUUGCUAGAGUAUGGGAGAGGGAAGUGGAAUUUCCGGUGUAGCGGUGAAAUGCGUAGAUAUCGGAAGGAACAUCAGUGGCGAAAGCGACUUCCUGGACCAAUACUGACGCUCAUGUGCGAAAGCGUGGGAGCAACAGG
rnacentral:rRNA from 1 species